AUCACAUAGAAUGUAUUCUGCACUUUCUUUCACUUAUGGAAGUCAUCAAAGCCAAUUUCCUCUUGUGGUCAGAUAAGAUCAGUCAAAUGAAAGCUCCCCUGUGGGGCUGGAGGGGGUAAAUAUGUUCACUGAGUACCUCCGGCUCUAACGGCAGCUUCUUCUUUACCUCGCCCUGAGGCCCCCGGCCCGAUCCACCGCCGCUCCGAGCACCGAGCAGCUCCAUGGUAACGCCGGGAGGGGAAGAGACCAAUAAUGCAUGAACCAAGUACAUCACCCUUUGCAUGUGUUAGAUGUGUGAGUUUUACUUACUUACUUUAUUUACCCAAGUGCUGCUGUCCCAUAUCACCAUGGUGCCCCCCUACCCCCCCUCUGCAGGGACCUCAGAGACGGAGCGGAAAAAGCAUAAACACCCGCUGAUCCUGCGCGAUGGUUUUCAAGUGCUUAACAGCUCAAUCUCUCUUAAAAUAAUUACACCUGAGAGGCAGAGAUCCAUCACGACUGCCCCGGUCUGGAAAUUGCCCCUCAGAUGGGCGAAGAGUUUGUGAACAUUUGUGAGCUAUUAUAAUUAGCCUUUCUUUCUCUUGUACACCUCUUCUUUUAGUUCAUAAACCAUCGCUCUGUCGAUGUCGAUGAUGAUGAGGAUGAUGACGGAUGUGGUUGGUGGAUGCGGGAACAGCUUUUCUGAACACCGUGUGUAUGUUUGUGUGCGUAACAAUGGAACUUAGUAUUGGCCUUGUCAACAUUUACUGUAAUAUUAUUAUCAAUGACAUCAGCUCAGCAUUUUAGUAUCUGAACUCAGUAGCAUCUCUGAACUGAACAAACACGACGUAGGAUUUAAUAUCCAUUAACAUAAUAUCCUUCAAAUGCUCAUUCCACAUAUUUUAGCAGCAUUUGAAAAGUGUCCUUUUAAUUCUAAUUCCACAGUCUCCGUUGAAAACUACCAGAAUUGGAUUGUUCGUUUGCUUAAAUAAAGCAGGCGGUUGUGCUCGGCCCCGUUUGUGUGAAAGUGAUUCACACCAGAGCGCACUGCACGCCGUACCUCGUUACAGUGCGACGCGGAUCGAGUUCAUGUUUACCCAGAAAAUAUGGAAUUGCAGACUUCCCCGUAAUAAACUGUUCCAGAAUGCAGACCGCCGGCCUCCUCCUGUAACAUUAUUAUUACCUGCAGGCCUCUGGGACUGAGUCCAUCGUUCUCCCUCGCUGCUUCUCACAAACACACACACACACAAAGUCUUUAAAUAUAGAAUUAAUACAACCACAGUAAAAACGAGUUUAGCCAAAGUUUGGAUAGCCAAUGUCAAGCCCUUUCGAAAUGAAAUAAUCAACGUUUCAACAUUUGCAUGCACAAAGAUCCCUCUGAUUAGGUCUUUUUAAACGCCACAAUGGUUUUUAUAAAGUUCCAACAGAUUCUGGCAAUUGUUGCACCGGCCAAUCAAAAGUGACUCAAUGAGAAAAACAGAAGACUAGAAGACACCACCUGAACCUUCAGACCAUAGAACUCUGGUGGUAAAAACUACCAGGUGAUAAAUAACUGAACGCCAUCAAUGGUGGAUUCUUUGCACUUUUUUCACGUUACUUAAAUGAACAUUAAAAAAAAAAGUGUAGUAUGUUCCAUCAACUGACUUAUAUAAAACAUAUUAUGAUAUAUUACAAAACCUAAAUGGACCCAUCUAACUCCUCCCUCUCAGGGGAUUAUACACAAAAUAAAACCCGACCACUCUAUUUUAUAUUACAUUUCCUGCAAUAGAUCCACAUGAGUGCUUCGUAAUGGAAACUUUAUUCAUUGGAAUCAGAGGAAAUCUGUGGUGGUUUCUUGUUUUUUGUCUCUUGUUUACGUCAAGCCACAAUCAUCAGUCAACUAACUAUCCAUUGAAGAUGAAGAUGAAGUUCACACACACACACACACACACACACACACACACACACACACACACACAGACACUACGAGCCGUAUAUAAUUGACCUUGUGAGAGACGUCUCAUACAUGUCAGCCAAGCCACGACAGGUGAGCGUGGUCACCAACAGUCGGCUUCCGUGUGGAGGAAUAAACCAGGUGGACGUGGUUUCGUAUUUGUUGAAGAAGUUGUAUAACUUUUAAUGUUUGUGCUGCUUAUCGUGUAAUGGGGGGCGGGUACAUUCUUGACCUCAUUCCUGAAUAAAAAGCCUUUUGCCGAUGUAUGGGUUUUCCAUCGCAGUGAUGUUUCUUAAACACAGGUUUAAGGUUUCACCCAGGCAGCUCCAGAAGAAUGUUAAUAUUCAGGUCAGAUUAAAAAAAAAAUAACUCCCCGUUUCCGGCCACGGCAGUAAUUCUUACGCCACAGAGUAACCCUGGAUGCCCCAGAUGAGGCUGAGGUUGGCUGACGUCGCUCACAUUCAUGAUUGCCUUCUGUAACAUGUCUUUAAAAGACCAUUUGGGACGGAAUCAUUUUAUGCUGGAUUAUUUUUACAUUCUACUUUGUCGUGUUUGAGCGCUAUCUGUAGCUGGCUUCUUCAUUUUUCCCUCCUUUUCACAAAUACGUACUGGUUUCUGCGCAGCUCUCACUGUAGUAAAAGUGGGCAUCUGGCUCCAAGUCUGCCCGGUUUAAUAUGAGGAGACAAAUUGCAUUACCUCAGUCCCGAUAGCCGUGUAAAUAGUCAAAGAUAGCCAUCAUGUCAUUACUGGGACUUUCCUUUGUGAAGUUAGUGCACUGCUGGUAACUCGUGGUCCAAUGCAGAAAAAACUACUCCAAAUAAGUACGGUUGGAAAAACAGGGAAUUUUACU
ensembl:lncRNA